AUUGAACGCUGGCGGCAUGCUUUACACAUGCAAGUCGAGCGAGCGGCGCACGGGUGAGUAAUGUCUCGGAAACUGCCUAAUGGCGGGGGAUAACUACUGGAAACGGUAGCUAAUACCGCAUACCCUCAGCUGUACCCAUAGGGGAUUAGCUAGUAGGUGGGGUAAUGGCUCACCUAGGCGACGAUCCCUAGAUGGUCUGAGAGGAUGACCAGCCAAACUGGAACUGAGACACGGUCCAGACUCCUACGGGAGGCAGCAGUGGGGAAUAUUGCACAAUGGGCGCAAGCCUGAUGCAGCCAGGCCGCGUGUGUGAAGAAGGCCUUAGGGUUGUAAAGCACUUUCAGAGAGGAGGCGUUACUCGCAGAAGAAGCACCGGCUAACUCCGUGCCAGCAGCCGCGGUAAUUC
rnacentral:rRNA from 1 species